rnacentral:lncRNA from 1 species
AAAAAUUAUAUACUUGUUUCUUUUUUGCUUGUGUGUGUGAUUCUAAAUCCACUGACUAUAAAUUCUGUAUUCGCCCGGUGGUUGCAGGUGGAAUCAGCUCAGUAUAGGUUGAAAAAGUGGGAUGACAAGAAAGAAUCAAUUCUAGAGGAAUAAAAGAAACUGGACAAAGAGGAGAUUCAUACCAAAGGGUUGUUAAUGUCUCUCACAAAUGAGGUUUUAGAAAGCUUAAUGAUUCAAGAAUAAUACCACUUUUGGAAUGAAAAUGACCAA